UGGACAAUGAAUGCAUAGAGCUGGUUUGCGU
rnacentral:piRNA from 1 species